UUGAAAAUAUCUUGUUGUUAGAGAAUGGACAGACUAGUUGAAUUGGCGACUGUGUGAUGCCAUCAUGUCAAUAUGGACCAACAUCUCUGAGAGAUGUUUCCAACAACUUGUUGAAUCUAUACCAUGAAGAAUUAAGGCAGUUCUGAAGGAAAAAGAGGGUCCAACCCAGGACUAGGAGGGUGUACCAAAUAAAGUGGCC